rnacentral:lncRNA from 1 species
UGCGCAGGAAGUGGGUCUUCAGCGUGUCGCCAGCUUAUAACGUAGACGUGCGGUAGAGUUUGAGCCCCUCUCGUGCACGAGGCACUUGUGUCCUGCUUUCCAGCGCCUGCAGUGAAGAUGUCCCACCCAUCCCCAGCAGGCAAGCCCUCCAAUUCCAAGAACCCGCGAGUCUUCUUUGACGUGGACAUCGGCGGGGAGCGAGUUGGACGAAUUGUUUUAGAAUUGUUUGCAGAUAUUGUUCCUAAAACUGCAGAAAAUUUUCGUGCAUUGUGUACAGGAGAAAAGGGCACUGGACCGACAACUGGGAAACCUCUGCAUUUUAAAGGAUGCCCUUUCCACCGAAUUAUUAAGAAAUUUAUGAUUCAGGGUGGAGACUUCUCAAAUCAGAAUGGGACAGGUGGAGAAAGUAUUUAUGGUGAAAAAUUUGAAGAUGAGAAUUUUCAUUAUAAGGUAAAGAAAAAAUCUUAGUUUUGCUAAUAUAAAGACUGUAUUUGAAAUAUACUUGGAUUAACAUUUAAAAUAACUUUGGAUGUGGCUAGAUUGCUGUCAUCCCCGCCCCCUUCUGGUACUAGGACCUCUUAUGACAGCCAAAUGGUUCAUCACUAAGCUCCCCUUUGCCAUUUUCUAUUUUGAGCCUGGGUCUUGCCUAUUGCUCAGGUUAGCCUUAAACUCAUCCUAGCUGAGCCAUGCCUUGGACUCCCAGUCCCUUUUACUUACCCUUCUUAGGCACUGGGAUUACAAACCUGUGUCAGCAGCCUGGUACGGAUUGUACUUUUCUUAUAAAA